AUAAGGUUAUGGUGGUGGAGUCCGAGGCAAGUUCUAAAUUAAUUUUCGAGUUUUCAGAUUGUUUGAACGCAGUAUUUUAUUUUUUCAAACAGUUCAGGUGACAGUUAUUAAUCAUUUAUCAUUCAUGUUCCUGUCAGAUAUGGGUGUCAUAGAAUUUAAGGACUUUGGUAACUAGUUACGCACCCUUGGUCAAGUGCUUUGAUGAAUCAUGAUGCAAUUGUGAGUACGUACUCAUUUAGUUCCUUUCCUUCUCUCUCAGCGGUCCCAUUCCAGUUCAUUUCUUCGAGAUGGCUUCUACUGCAGCAGAUCCUGAAGUGCUGUUUGAACUAGAAAAUCUUGUCGAAGAUCUCACGCACUCUGGUCAGAAAACCUUGGACGCAUCUAAACUGAAAAGACUUAAGUCAAUCUGCAAACAGUCUUCUUCUUACAUUGAAAGGAUGUACACACUUGUCAUGGACUUCAUGAAAAAAGAUCAUGCAGAAAUUCGAUUCAGCGCUUUUCAGAUCUGCGAUGAAUUUUUCAGGAGAUCUCACCUUUUUCGUGAGCUCAUCAUUGCAGAUUUACAGCAAAUUUUCGAAUUGACAGCAGAGAUCAAUGCUAAAAAUCGAAUGCCACCACCCAGAAAAGUAGCAGAAAACCUGAAGAAAAUGGCUUUGAAAACUGUGAAGGAAUGGAAUUCAGUCUAUGGACCUGCAUAUAAAAGGCUUUCUUUAGGACUCCAAUAUCUACAAAAAUGUGCAAAGAUUAAUUUUGAGCGCUUAGAAAGAGAGGAAUCGUUAACUCGUGAUUUAAAUAGACAGAUUGAAAGGAGGAAACGAAUGGAAAUAGAGGCCAAAUUAAUUAAACUACAUGCUGAAAUUUCAGAGAAUGAAACAGAAAUCAGGAUGGCAGUCAAUGCAUUGGAAGCUUGUAUGGGUAUAUUAGUUCCCAGAUUAAAUGAUUUUUCGCUUGAUGAUGAAGACGGGUCUUUCUCUACUGAAAAGCCAUCUACAUCUGCAGAAAGUACAUCCUCAAGUAAAGUUGCAGUUGAAGAAGAAAACUUUGCCAUUGAAGAUGAGGCAAACCUAGAGUAUCGUGAGAGAGGAAUGAGCUCAAAGUAUGCCAUAGAAAUCUGUCUAAAUGAAGGUCCUGUUAUUCAUGAAAGCUCAGAAAAUAAAGCAGUUCUGGAAAAUGCUGUAGAUCAGCAUAAACUUCUAAGUAAUAAAUUUACAUCAAUGUUGAAGUCAUGGGAAAGAACUCUAUCCAAGAUUGGUAAAAAAGAGGAUUUAGAAAAAGUGGUUGAUUUAAAAAAAAAAGUUGAACAAGUGGUACAGAAAUUCAAAACAUUGAAAAUCAUUAAAAUGCGUGGAGAGGAUGAAGUCUCGACAGAUUCUGAACUGGAGGACGUUCCAAUCGAUGAAACUGUAGUUCUGGCAGCUGAAGAUCCCAACAAAGAGGCCAACAUAAAGGAUCCAAAACUCAGUGAAGCUGCUUCAACCAAUGAUAAAACAUGUGAGACUGCUAGUCAAAAAGGAGUUGUGGCAAAAGACAGCAAUGCUUGGAGUAUACUAUCUACAGAGGAAAAAGCAGAAGAUCCUACCAGUGCACAAGCAGCGCUACAUAGUCUGAAGAAAACUCCAAAGAAAUCCAAAAAACCCAAAGCUGAAGAAUCAAAAUCCUCAUCGGAGGAAUGCAGUCCAACUAAGCUCUCUGAAAGAAAGAAAAAACUUCUCGCUUUAGCUCCAAAAGUGCCGUUUGAUAUCGAUCUCUACCAUUGGGAAGAAAAUGAUGUUAAAGCUCCAACUUUGAUAGGAAAUGGCUCUGAAGGGCAUCGAUUUUGGUCAUCUGUAUCAGCAGAAGACAUGCAAGAAAUUCCUGUGCCAGAUGGUGCUGCCAGUUUGCGAACCAGAGUAAUUGAGUUUAGCGGUAAAUUUGAGCCUGUUAAGUGGGAGUGUCGAGCUCCAAUGCCAAACGGUCAAUUAUGUCCUCGCAAAGACAGAGUCAAGUGUCCUUUUCAUGGAAAAAUUGUUGGGAGAGACAAAACUGGUCAGGUCACCAACAUAGAGGAAAAGAUGAAACUACAAGAACAACAUGAAAAAGAACAGCAGGAACGUCCAGACUGGCAGGAUCCAGUUCUGCUCGCUGAGUUGAAGAAACAAACAGGCGUUGACUUAAAAAUGCCAGAAAGGACCAAAAAUGGUCGCCUCAAAAGGAAAACCAAGAAACAUCCAGGAUUAACAGAUUUAAAGCAAUAUGAAAAAACAUCAUUUAAUAGACUAUCCAAAAAAGUGUUUAAGAAGUCAACGAUGAUGAGGGUUGCCAGAGCAUUGGAUCGUGCAGAUCAAAGACGAUAUCGUGACAAAUAUGGGGAUCAAUUCAAUUACAUGUAUGACAGAUAAUGUGUAAAUUUGGUCCCAAAACUGCUACACUGUGAUACAUUUUAGGAGAAGAAACUUGCUGCUGGAACAUAUAGGAGCCAUCAGGUUGAAAGAGAAAUAUACAAAAAGGCUGGAGGUCUGCAAAUUUUUCAUCUCAUCAUUCGGCAAAUGAGACGUAGCUGAUGGUUACCUGGAUUGCUGACAAUGAUCAGAAUGGUAUUUGGGCUGUAUUUGACAAGUUGCGGAAUGAUGCUCUUAAAAAUGUCAGUGUUGCGCUGUACCAGAUCCAAUCGAGUCUCACCCUCCUUUUGACGAGCUCCAGCGGUGACGAUGCAUACUCUUGAGUUAGCCGUCACGGAAUAAUCUAGAAUUUAAGGUACAAUUAAAGUCAAUUAUAUUUUCUUUCAUUUUUUUAAGUGCAUUUAAGGCAUACAAUCUUUACAAUUUUGAAUAAGAAUAUGUCACCAUGUGUGUAAUUUAAAAAUUGGUCGACAAAACUGUUCACGAUCUCCCCUAAGUUCCUGUGCAAGAGAUAGGUAAUAUAGUCCAAUUAUAUAAUAUUUUUACAGCAUUUCAUUUAAGUUUGUAUUUUUUAAUUUUGUUUAUUAAAGCAUUGCAUCUUUCAAGCAAAA